UUUGAAGAGUGAAGUGGGGAAAUGUUCCAUGUGAACAUCACUUGGACAUGGUCGGUUAGUCAAUCCUAAGAGAUGGGGAAUCCUUGUAUCAAGGGUGCACUCUGCAUGGACAUCGAAAGAGAAUUGGGUUAAUAUUCCUGAACUGGGACAUGGUGGUGGACGACAAUGUUAGGAAAUAUGGAGAUUUCAUCGAGGGCCUAAGAAGAGUUAUCUUUUUCUUUUUAAUGACUUUCCCACCCUGAAAUCGGUUCAAUCGGAGAUAGGGUCCAACAUCUGGAAGAGAACCACACAUCUUGCGGUGUUUGGUGCCCCCUCGGCGACCAUUGAAAAUAUGGAGAACCGAGUACCAUCCAUGCCCAAUCAUACUCAUAUUUGCCUCUUGAGAUUUUUCAAUGUCC
rnacentral:ncRNA from 1 species